rnacentral:rRNA from 1 species
UGGUUUGUCGCGUCGUCUGUGAAAUUCCGGGGCUUAACUCCGGGCGUGCAGGCGAUACGGGCUGACUUGAGUGCUGUAGGGGAGACUGGAAUUCCUGGUGUAGCGGUGAAAUGCGCAGAUAUCAGGAGGAACACCGAUGGCGAAGGCAGGUCUCUGGGCAGUAACUGACGCUGAGGAGCGAAAGCAUGGGUAGCGAACAGGAUUAGAUACCCUGGUAGUCCAUGCCGUAAACGGUGGGCGCUAGGUGUAGGGGGCUUCCACGUCUUCUGUGCCGUAGCUAACGCAUUAAGCGCCCCGCCUGGGGAGUACGGCCGCAAGGCUAAAACUCAAAGGAAUUGACGGGGGCCCGCACAAGCGGCGGAGCAUGUGGAUUAAUUCGAUGCAACGCGAAGAACCUUACCUGGGCUUGACAUAUACAAGACAGGCGUAGAGAUACGUCCUCCCUUGUGGUUUGUAUACAGGUGGUGCAUGGUUGUCGUCAGCUCGUGUCGUGAGAUGUUGGGUUAAGUCCCGCAACGAGCGCGACCCUUGUCUUAUGUUGCCAGCAUUUGGUUGGGGACUCAUGAGAGACUGCCGGGGUCAACUCGGAGGAAGGUGGGGAUGACGUCAAAUCAUCAUGCCCCUUAUGUCCAGGGCUUCACACAUGCUACAAUGGUCGGUACAACGCGCAGCGACACUGUGAGGUGGAGCGAAUCGCUGAAAGCCGGCCUUAGUUCGGAUUGGGGUCUGCAACUCGACCCCAUGAAGUCGGAG